GGAUUGUGGCUCAGCGGUAGAGCACUCACCUAGCACAUGCUAGCAGCGUGAGGCACUGGGUUCGAUCCUCAGCACCA
rnacentral:tRNA from 1 species